rnacentral:rRNA from 1 species
ACGAACGCUGGCGGCGUGCUUAACACAUGCAAGUCGAACGGUGAAGGGGUCUGCUUUUGUGGGCCCUGGAUGAGUGGCGAACGGGUGAGUAACACGUGAGUAACCUGCCCCCUUCUUCUGGAUAACCGCAUGAAAGUGUGGCUAAUACGGGAUAUUCUGGGUCUGUCGCAUGAUGGGUCUGGGAAAGAUUGCGCCUUUGGGUGUUUUUGGUGGGGGAUGGGCUCGCGGCCUAUCAGCUUGUUGGUGGGGUGAUGGCCUACCAAGGCGGUGACGGGUAGCCGGCCUGAGAGGGUGGACGGUCACACUGGGACUGAGACACGGCCCAGACUCCUACGGGAGGCAGCAGUGGGGAAUAUUGCACAAUGGGCGCAAGCCUGAUGCAGCGACGCCGCGUGAGGGAUGGAGGCCUUCGGGUUGUAAACCUCUUUCGCCAGUGAAGCAGGCCUGCUCCGUGUGGGUGGGUUGACGGUAGCUGGAGAAGAAGCGCCGGCUAACUACGUG